rnacentral:rRNA from 1 species
ACUCCUACGGGAGGCAGCAGUGGGGAAUAUUGCACAAUGGGGGAAACCCUGAUGCAGCCAUGCCGCGUGUAUGAAGAAGGCCUUCGGGUUGUAAAAGUACUUUUCAGCAGUGAGGAAGGUGGGUAUGUUAAUAGCAUAUUCAUUUGACGUUAGCUGCAGAAGAAGCACCGGCUAACUCCGUGCCAGCAGCCGCGGUAAUACGGAGGGUGCGAGCGUUAAUCGGAAUUACUGGGCGUAAAGCGCAUGCAGGUGGUUUGUUAAGUCAGAUGUGAAAGCCCGGGGCUCAACCUCGGAAUUGCAUUUGAAACUGGCAAACUAGAGUACUGUAGAGGGGGGUAGAAUUUGCAGGUGUAGCGGUGAAAUGCGUAGAGAUCUGAAGGAAUACCGGUGGCGAAGGCGGCCCCCUGGCACAGAUACUGACACUCAGAUGCGAAAGCGUGGGGAGACAAACAGGGAUUAGAAUA